rnacentral:rRNA from 1 species
AAGCUCGUAGUUGAAUUUCGGGAUCAAUAUGUUGGUCGUGCCAUUGGUACGCACUGGCAUUAUUGGUUUCUACCUUCUGAAGAACCUCGAUGUCAUUAAUUUGGUGUCUUGGGGAAUCAGGACUGUUACUUUGAAAAAAUUAGAGUGUUUAAAGCAAGCUCGCGCUUGAAUACAUUAGCAUGGAAUAAUGAAAUAGGACGUUUGGUUCUAUUUUGUUUGGUUUCUUAGGAUUGACGUAAUGAUUAAUAGGGAUAGUUGGG